rnacentral:rRNA from 1 species
AUUGAACGCUGGCGGCAGGCCUAACACAUGCAAGUCGAGCGGUAGAGAGAAGCUUGCUUCUCUUGAGAGCGGCGGACGGGUGAGUAAUGCCUAGGAAUCUGCCUGGUAGAGGGGGAUAACGUUCGGAAACGGACGCUAAUACCGCAUACGUCCUACGGGAGAAAGCAGGGGACCUUCGGGCCUCGCGCUAUCAGAUGAGCCUAGGUCGGAUUAGCUAGUUGGUGAGGUAAUGGCUCACCAAGGCGACGAUCCGUAACUGGUCUGAGAGGAUGAUCAGUCACACUGGAACUGAGACACGGUCCAGACUCCUACGGGAGGCAGCAGUGGGGAAUAUUGGACAAUGGGCGAAAGCCUGAUCCAGCCAUGCCGCGUGUGUGAAGAAGGUCUUCGGAUUGUAAAGCACUUUAAGUUGGGAGGAAGGGUUGUAGAUUAAUACUCUGCAAUUUUGACGUUACCGACAGAAUAAGCACCGGCUAACUCUGUGCCAGCAGCCGCCGUAA